AGCGAACGCUGGCGGCAGGCUUAACACAUGCAAGUCGAGCGGGCAUAGCAAUAUGUCAGCGGCAGACGGGUGAGUAACGCGUGGGAACGUACCUUUUGGUUCGGAACAACACAGGGAAACUUGUGCUAAUACCGGAUAAGCCCUUACGGGGAAAGAUUUAUCGCCGAAAGAUCGGCCCGCGUCUGAUUAGCUAGUUGGUGAGGUAAUGGCUCACCAAGGCGACGAUCAGUAGCUGGUCUGAGAGGAUGAUCAGCCACAUUGGGACUGGGACACGGCCCAAACUCCUACGGGAGGCAGCAGUGGGGAAUAUUGGACAAUGGGCGCAAGCCUGAUCCAGCCAUGCCGCGUGAGUGAUGAAGGCCCUAGGGUUGUAAAGCUCUUUUGUGCGGGAAGAUAAUGACGGUACCGCAAGAAUAAGCCCCGGCUAACUUCGUGCCAGCCGCCGCGGUAA
rnacentral:rRNA from 1 species